GUCCAAAUGGCAAGCAAAUCCCCAAAAGCUUAUUGCCAAACAUAUAUAGAUUUUUUUCCAUAUUUAUGGAUGCCCAGGUCUCUUUUCCUGGUGACUGAGUGUGUGAAAAUGCCUUAGGCAAUUCCAUCAUUCCCGUCCCUCUAUUUUUGCCACGCUCCCCCAUCUGGACCCGACUUGUGGCCGCGGUGAGCUGGACUGCAACAGGGAAGGGAGCUCAAAAAAGAAAGAAAACCUGUGACCUACCCUUGCCUGGGCUUUAGGUCUUCCUGGCAGAUGUUUUCCUGACUUCAGAUCGUGAGUGAGUAUAAGCUCCACGACAAAUGGACAAGUUGGUAUGGAUGCCACUGGAGCAGAAUGAGCAAAGUGAAGCUUGUUGAUGGUCAGAUCCUGCUUCAAAAUUGGCCACGCUUUGCACAAGAAUUUGGAACAGAUGCAACUGAUGAGCUUCAGGGAUUGGAACUAGAUGAUCUUGAAUGUCCCUUCCAACCAAAGCCAUUCUAUGAAUUCAAAAUGUCCCUUUACACCGAAAUAACUCUUGUGGCUCUACAGCUUUGUAUCAAAGACAGUGAAAAUGUCAUUUUCCAGGAGGAAAUGUGUGUGAAACUUUCUGUGUUCUUGUGAGACAUAGAAAGUUGGAAGAAAGAAAAAUGUAGCUUUAAAAUAAACUUUUCCCCCAUCUCACAGAUGCAAAAGCACUGACAGUUUUGAUUUUGGGGCUUAAAUUAUAUUGCAGUGGCUGUUGCAAACUGCAGACUGAAAUGUCAGUGUUGCUGGAAUAUAAUAGUACAGCCCCAGUAAAUAUCUCCGGAUUUAGCUCUCACGUAUUCUUUUUUAUUUAGCAUUCCAUCAAUAACUUUGUUGUACAUGCUUGCACACAGAUAGUUCAUUUCUUUCAAGGUGGUUUAACUGCCUAGCAACCUUAUAAAAAUAAAUUUUGAUGUUCUGUUAUAAUGGCUGAAAA